GAUGAAGAACGUAGCGAAAUGCGAUAAAUAACGUGAAUUGCAGAAUUCAGUGAAUCAUCGAGUCUUUGAACGCACAUUGCGCCCCCUGGUAUUCCGGGGGGCAUGCCUGUCCGAGCGUCAUUGCUGCCCUCAAGCACGGCUUGUGUGUUGGGCCCCCGUCCCCCCCUCCCGGGGGACGGGCCCGAAAGGCAGCGGCGGCACCGCGUCCGGUCCUCGAGCGUAUGGGGCUUUGUCACCCGCUCUGUAGGCCCGGCCGGCGCCUGCCGACCACCAUCAAUCUUUUUUCAGGUUGACCUCGGAUCAGGUAGGGAUACCCGCUGAACUUAAGCAUAUCAAUAAGCGGAGGA
rnacentral:misc_RNA from 1 species